rnacentral:rRNA from 1 species
UACGGGGGGGGCAAGCGUUAUUCGGAAUUACUGGGCGUAAAGGGCUCGUAGGUGGCCAACUAAGUCGGACGUGAAAUCCCUCAGCUUAACUGGGGAACUGCGUCCGAUACUGGAUGGCUUGAGUUUGGGAGAGGGAUGCGGAAUUCCAGGUGUAGCGGUGAAAUGCGUAGAUAUCUGGAGGAACACCGGUGGCGAAGGCGGCAUCCUGGACCAAUACUGACACUGAACAGCGAAAGCCAGGGGAGCAAACGGG